AUUCAAUCAAUAUAAACUAAUAUUGAAACGGUACAAAGAAGACUAACAUGACCUGAUCAAGGAAAACACGCAAAUUCGUGAAGCGUUCCAUCUUUUG
rnacentral:snRNA from 1 species